AUCUGAUUUCAAACGGGAACCCCUGUUAAUCAAAAACAAUCACUUGUUUUUUUUUAAAACGGGACUGGAUUGGCAGAACGAGGGCUUAUUUGUCUCCUUAAUCCUCUCAAUGAUGUUAUUCUCCCCGUGCAGAGGCGGGGAUAGUAACAUAAGACGAGAAGACCCUAUGGAGCUUCUUACACCGAACAGACCACGUCGACCACCUUAUCACAAAAUCACGAACUUAAUGGCUACUGUCUCCAUGUCUUCGGUUGGGGCGACCAUGGGGAAAAAUAUAACCCCCACGUGGACUGAGAGCAAACACCCGCUUAUCACUCCCAAAACCAAGAGAAACUCCUCAAAUAAACAGAACUUCUGACCUCAAAUGAUCCGGCCAAGCCGAUCAACGAAACUAGUUACCCUAGGGAUAACAGCGCAUUCCUCUUUAAUAGCCCAUAUCAACCAGAAGGUUUACGACCUCUAUGUUGGAUCAUGACGUCCUAAUGGUGCAGCAGCUAUUAAGGGUUCGUUUGUUCACCGAUGAACGUCCUACGUGAUCUGAGUUCAGACCGGAUCAGACC
rnacentral:rRNA from 1 species